AAGACUUUAAGUUAUUUAAACUAAUAAUCUUCAAAAUUAUAAAUUUCUUCAAGAAAAGUCUUA
rnacentral:tRNA from 1 species